GCACAUACAAGAACAAUACCACUACUACAAACCAGAGAUGCCUACCUGACAGAUUUAUGAAAAGAUUUCAUGUGCUUAUCUGCCUUUCUGCUGGUGCUGCAUGCUCUGAAAGCUGAACUGCAACAGCUGUUGUCUUGGGAAGAGAGAAAGAAGUUGGGCAUUGGGGAGCCUUUGAAAAGCUAAUGUGUAUUUGCCCUGGAAAACGCAGAAGAGGAAGCAAGUUCCAAAUGAAGCUCGGCUCACGAGGAGCGCCGCGCUAGGAGCGGCAUCAAGGCUCAGGCAUGGAACAGCCCUGUUGUCCCAUGCGCUAACAAUUUUAGUAUUUGUUACUGCUUCCAUUAGCUCAUUUUAAGACAACAAUAAAGCAAGUAAUGUGUG